UACGUAGGUGACAAGCGUUGUCCGGAUUUACUGGGCGUAAAGAGCGCGCAGGCGGUCGUUCAAGUCGAGUGUGAAAGCCCCCGGCUCAACUGGGGAGGGUCAUUCGAUACUGAUCGACUCGAAGGCAGGAGAGGGAAGUGGAAUUCCCGGUGUAGUGGUGAAAUGCGUAGAUAUCGGGAGGAACACCAGUGGCGAAGGCGACUUCCUGGCCUGUUCUUGACGCUGAGGCGCGAAAGCUAGGGGAGCGAACGGG
rnacentral:rRNA from 1 species